rnacentral:tRNA from 1 species
CGACUGCACUGGUCGUGGAGACCUGCUAUGGACGAUUGUGAGAUACGGGAAGCAUUGGAUCGCCAUUGGGUCGCAUCCGAUGCGGACGAC